rnacentral:rRNA from 1 species
UUACUCUGAGUGAUGCCCGCUAAGGGCAUCUUUUGGUACCUCUAAAAAUGGUGCAGAAUAAGGGGUGGGCAAGUCUGGUGUCAGCCGCCGCGGUAAUACCAGCACCCCGAGUGGUCGGGACGAUUAUUGGGCCUAAAGCAUCCGUAGCUUGUCCUGCAAGUCCUCCGUUAAAUUCACCUGCUCAACAGAUGGGCUGCGGAGGAUGCUACAGGGCUAGGAGGCGGGAGAGGCAAGCGGUACUCAGUGGGUAGGGGUAAAAUCCUCUGAUCCACUGAAGACCACCAGUGGCGAAGGCGGCUUGCCAGGACGCGCUCGACGGUGAGGGAUGAAAGCUGGGGGAGCAAACCGGAUUAGAUACCCGGGUAGUCCCAGCUGUAAACGAUGCAGACUCGGUGAUGGGUUGGCUUCGCGCCAACCCAGUGCCGCAGGGAAGCCGUUAAGUCUGCCGCCUGGGGAGUACGGUCGCAAGACUGAAACUUAAAGGAAUUGGCGGGAGAGCACCACAAGGGGUGAAGCCUGCGGUUCAAUUGGAGUCAACGCCGGGAAUCUUACCGGGGGCGACAGCAGAGUGAAGGUCAAGCUGAAGACUUUACCAGACAAGCUGAGAGGAGGUGCAUGGCCGUCGCCAGCUCGUGCCGUGAGGUGUCCUGUUAAGUCAGGUAACGAGCAAGAUCCCUGCCUCUAGUUGCUACCACCGCUCUCAGGAGCGGAGGGGCUAAUUAGAGGGACCGCCGCCGCUAAGGCGGAGGAAGGAGGGGGCUACGGCAGGUCAGUAUGCCCCGAAACCCUCGGGCCACACGCGGGCUGCAAUGGUAAGGACAACGG